UGGGGAAUAUUGGACAAUGGGCGAAAGCCUGAUCCAGCCAUGCCGCGUGAGUGACGAAGGCCUUAGGGUUGUAAAACUCUUUCGUCGGGGACGAUAAUGACGGUACCCGAAGAAGAAGCUCCGGCUAACUUCGUGCCAGCAGCCGCGGUAAUACGAAGGGAGCUAGCGUUGUUCGGAAUCACUGGGCGUAAAGCGCACGUAGGCGGAUAGUUAAGUCAGGGGUGAAAUCCUGGGGCUCAACCUCGGAACUGCCUUUGAUACUGCGGAUCUCGAGUCCGAUAGAGGUGAGUGGAAUUCCUAGUGUAGAGGUGAAAUUCGUAGAUAUUAGGAAGAACACCGGUGGCGAAGGCGGCUCACUGGAUCGGUACUGACGCUGAGGUGCGAAAGCGUGGGGAGCAAACAGGAUUAGAUACCCGUGUAGUCCCUGAGCGGGCUGGCAAGGCGCAU
rnacentral:rRNA from 1 species